AGGGAGUACCUGCAGGAAGUAACGCGGAAUUUGUCCGGUCAGCGUGCUCGUGGACAGUCAUUGGUUACUGCCAAGGUGUUCUACUUUGCUGUCCGUUUGCAAGUGUUCUGUCCAGCUGGAUCUGUCUGAAGUCCAACUGCAUCAGUAACUACAGGACAAUGGGAUCGAUACCAGACGAGAAUGCAUUCUUAAGGGACUGUGUGUCUACCUUAACGAAGAUCCAGACAAGCUGGUGAAAGAAUACAAGAUAUGUUGAUUUACUUUACCUUUUUUAGGAAAUGAUCAGUAGGGAUUCCUUGUGGGUUUUUUGGGUGGCUUUUAAAGACCUUUGAAAUGUAAUGCUGGUCAUAAUUUGUUUUGAUUGUUUGAUAUGUGCUAAUUUCAGCUGUUUUAGAAUAAUGUUUUUUUUUUUUUAAUUAUGAGGAUGGAUGUAAUGAAUACCAGGCACAGGCAGAUGAUGAAAACACCGCGGCAGCCAUGGCAGAGACCGUCUAUGGCAUCUAUGUCAUUCGACACAGCAGUGCAGAGCCCAGUGAUGCCCCAGAGGAUGUGGGAGUCAUUCGGAGGGGGUGACGGUACUCAGUGAGUUGAGGAAUGUACCAUUUGCACUGUCCAUCUUGCUUGCUUUUGUGUAUAAUCUGAACCUGAGUUACCUCCCAGAGCUAAAAUAUACAUUCGAAGCUCUGCAGAAAAUAAUCCUAGAGCUUGAUGGGAACAGACUGUCUACAAAAGUUCAGGCCCUGAAGACAGUUCUUUCCCGUUGAGAAUUUUUGCUCAACUGGGGUAAAACCCUUUUGUUUUCCUUUAAGAUGUUCUAAGUUCAUUUGCAAAGUUUUUUAUCAACACUAAAUCUCCUGACAUUUUAAUGGGCAGUUCCCAUUAUCUAAUGUUGAGUUCUAUAAGGGGGCUGAGAAUUCAAAUAGUAUAUUACCCCAUGUCCCAAACAGCAUCUUCAGUUUAGAACAACAAAGACUUUUGUAAUGCUUUUCUUCUGUACCAAUUACUCAGAUUCUUUGUAAUUGUGAUUUAAAACACAAAGCGGUUCUCAACUGGGUUCCAAAUUUUUCUGUACUCUUUAAGUAAGUUUUUGCCUUUUAUUUAUUUAUUUUUUUUUAAUUCAUUUUGUUCAGUUUAGAUUUUUGGUCACUUUCUAAGAUAAGAUUUAUUUUGGUCAGUUGUGCUAAUUUCAGUAUGUGGCAAGAAAAAAAAACCUAAACUGACCAAAAUUAAGUAAAAAAUAAAUGUAAGACAGUAAUGAAAAUACAAUUAAAAUAAUUAAUAUAAUUAUUAAAAUAAAUGUAAAAAAAAUAAUAAAAACAGACCAAAGGACAUUUUUCUUAGAUCAGUGUUUGUAAAAACAUUAAAAACAAUGUGGACCUGUUACAUAUUUUAAGCACUUAAUAUAUAUAUAUUUUUUAACCACACACUUUCCGAUCCACCAGUUGAGGACCACAAAUUUAGAGGGAACAGUGCUGAAUUUUUGUUUUCAGAAGUGAUACAUUUCAUUUGCUGUUUGAGUGUAAAAUAUUGUUUUACUUAUUGUUAUUAAUAUUAUUAUUAUUUUUUAAUUUAGUUUCUAUUACAAGCAAUACUAGCAGUUUGUAACUGCAUGUAGGAUUUCUAUUCAGUUAAUUAAAAAUGAGCAACUGUACUGCCUUUACAAUUUAAAUACAGUUUAUGACAGCA